rnacentral:rRNA from 1 species
CACGUAGGCGGAUCGUUAAGUCGACUGUGAAAGUCUUGGGCUUAACCCGAGAAUUGCAGUCGAUACUGGCGGACUAGAGUACUGGAGAGGGAAGUGGAAUUCCCGGUGUAGCGGUGAAAUGCGCAGAUAUCGGGAGGAACACCAGUGGCGAAGGCGGCUUCCUGGCCAGUAACUGACGCUGAGGUGCGAAAGCUGGGGGAGCGAACC